UAAAAAAGAUGGAGAUACUGCUGGCACAGGAGCAUUAGUAACUGAAGAUACGAAAGGUUCACCUUUACAGAACCGUUCGGAUAGAAUGAAAAGGGAAGAGGAAUUGAAAGCUCUUAAAGGCAGGAAGCUUGUGAAAAAUCGAGGACAAAACAAUGAUAAUAAUGAGGAUAAUACAAAAUCUUCUUCGGAGUAAACACAGCAUUCUGUUUCACCAACGGACGAAACUUUCA